rnacentral:siRNA from 1 species
AAGGUUCAAGAACGGAUCCUCAAA